CUUCUGUUCUCUUGCACUGGCUAGUGCCUUUUAUUUUAUUGUAACUGCCUUCAGCAUCUGUUCAAGUCAUCAAAAUUGGUUUAUUUGUUGCUCUAUUGUUUGUUUUUCCUUCUGAUUCUUCCUUCAAAUCAGGCACUGGAUUCCUUUUUUCUGUUGAAGGCAUGAAUUUAUAAACUGUAUGAGUAGGGCACUGAUCUGCAAACAUGUAAGUCAUG
rnacentral:misc_RNA from 1 species